CUUCUCGUCUGUAUUCCCGGCUGCUAUAGAGCCGGGUUAGAGAGCGAGCGCCCGUCCGCGGGCGUCGAGGGCGGGUUGCCUCGCGCUGACCCUUCCCGCCCUCGUUACACACCAGGUCCCCGCGGAAGCGGCGGUGUCGGCGCCAUGGCGGAGCUGACGGCUCUUGAGAGUCUCAUCGAGAUGGGCUUCCCCAGGGGACGCGCGGAGAAGGCUCUGGCCCUCACAGGGAACCAGGGCAUCGAGGCUGCGAUGGACUGGCUGAUGGAGCACGAAGACGACCCAGAUGUGGACGAGCCUCUAGAGACUCCCCUUGGACAUAUCCUGGGACGGGAGCCCACUUCCUCAGAGCAAGGCGGCCUUGAAGGAUCUGGUUCUGCUGCCGGAGAAGGCAAACCCGUUUUGAGUGAAGAGGAAAGACAGGAACAGACUAAGAGGUACAGUAACAACAAUCUCACAUCUCUGAGAGUCGUCUUCCACCUCUCCCCAGUACACGUCUGGUCAAAGAACCUUGACCUUUCCACAUUUCCUCUUUCUUGGCAUUUUCUUUUCCUUUUCUUUAAUCUACUUUGGGAUAUGUGUCGCCUAAUUUUGUUUAUUGUAAACUUUGCACCUUCCCACUCUGUCCAUUUCUCUUGAACUGUUUUCCCUCGGCAACACAGGAUGUUGGAGCUGGUGGCCCAGAAGCAGCGGGAGCGUGAAGAGAGAGAGGAACGGGAGGCAUUGGAACGGGAACGGCAGCGCAGGAGACAAGGGCAAGAGUUGUCAGCAGCACGACAGCGGCUACAGGAAGAUGAGAUGCGCCGGGCUGCUGAGGAGAGGCGGAGGGAAAAGGCCGAGGAGUUAGCAGCCAGGUCUGGGCA
rnacentral:sRNA from 1 species